CGGGCGACUGUAAUCCUAGCUACUCGGGAGGGUGAGGCAGGACAAUUGUUUGAACCUGGGAGGCAGAGAUUGCAGUGAGCUGAGAUUGUGCCAUUGCACUCCAGCCUGGGUGAGAGAGUAAGAUUCCAUCUAAAAAAAAAAAAAAAAGAAAUGUAUUUUACACAACAAUCAAUACACCUGAAAGUAGAAUUUCUGCAGCAAUGUUUACCCGUUGCUGUGUGCAGUGCACUCUGAUGUUUUCUAUUGAAUUUCAUUUUUUAAAAAUUGUGCUGGUUGUGACUUUUAUCCGUUGGUCAUGAUCUAAAAAUUGAAAAUUAUCAUUCUAGGUUCUACCUCUUCAAGACUUAGCUUGAGUUCUUUACUGCCCUGGAGAAGUCUGGGAGUGUGGCCGGGUGACCACGGGGCAGCCAGAGCCUGGCAGGGAUGACUGGAAGGAGGGGAGCUAAGACUUUGCAGUGUUCCUCCAGGGAUGAUGAUGUAAUCAUGGAAGGGCUCAAAGCCUUUCCCAAGGACAGGGUCAAGGCUACUAAGUCCAAGUAGCAGGGACAGGCACAGCCCGGCCAGUAAGGGUGUGUGGCCCGGGGCUGGUGCCUCCCUUACUCCCUGGUCCUGCAGAGGACGCCUGGGAUCUGCAGCACUGUGGCAAUGACAUGUUGGGGAGAAGGGACCCUCGCAGGCUCCCAGACCUGCUUUGUGACUUACUGAGUGAGUGCCCGACCCCUGCCUCACCAGCCCUGGGCUUCAGAGCCUGAGAAUGAAACCCGCCCUUCUUCCACCUCCUCUCCUGCCCAUCUCCUUCCCUCCUUCCUCUUCCCAGCUGGUGCCACGAGGAGCUGGCGGACCUCCAAGAGAAUUGGCCAAGAAUGCAGCCUCUGGACAGUGACCUGGCUUAUAUAUCAAGAAAAGAAGCGGGGCACGAUUGCUCAUGCCUGUAAUGCUAGCACUUUGGGAGGCCGAGGAGGCCGGAUCACCUGAGGUUGGGAGUUUGAGACCAGCCUGGCCAACAGAGUGAAACCCCGACUCUACUAAAAAAAUACAAAAAUUAGCCAGACGUGGAGGCGCGGGCCUGUAGUCCUAGGUACUUGGGAGGCUGAGGCAGGACAAUUGCUUGAACCUGGGAGGUAGAGGUUGCAGUGAGUCAAGAUGGCGCUACUGCACUCCAGCCUGGGCAACAGAGUGAGACCCUGUCUCAAAACAAACAAACAAACAAACAAACGAACAAACAAACAACAGAAAUCCUAAAUUUUCAAAAUGUUUUUCUAUAACCUCUUUCCCGAUCAUCAUCCAAUGAACUUCCUGCAAAAGCUCAAUCCCUUUCUGGGGACCGCUGCAUCAGUAAUCAAACUGCCUUCCUAAGGUGUGUGUUGUAGCAGGAGAGAAGUGGGGAAGUAGAGUCAGGCUACAGGCCACAGUUGCAACCUACAACUAAUCCAGAAAGUUGAGCACAAGGCAACAGAAAUGAGGCGUCUCCCAAGUGUCCAACCUGUCAGAAGCAGCCAGAGGGGUCACAGUCCCUGAGAGGUGCCCUCCUUGAACUUACAGCUUUUGGCAGGAAUCACAGGUUAGAAAUACAUUCGAUGGCCAGGCGCGGUGGCUCAUGCCUGCAAUCCCAG
rnacentral:lncRNA from 10 species